GGAGCUUAGGAACGGUUGCUAGGGCACACCCCCUUCCCUCUAAGCGAUGGCUGAGAGGCGGUGCAUGCAGAUGGGGACUCGGCUCGCCCCCCAUCUCACCCCCCCCCAAGUGGAGAUUGGUCGUCUUGUCGGAUUGCCCAGGCACUUGUUGCCGAAACAGCCAAGGCUCCAGCUCCAGAGGGCAGUGAAGGAGGAAGACACGGGAGCAAGACUACCCUGAAGGGCUCACCAGUGGUCUCAACCCUGAAACAGACCCGGGUCUCUUCUUCCCACCUGCCGAGCAGCAUGUGAGCAGCAUGACUGGCCAGCUGCAGGAGAAGCCCCCAGAGCCAGGACCGCGACACAGCCACCCGCUGCCAAGGUCAAGGUGUGAAGGACUUUCCCCCACCACGGUGGUGUCUGGUCCGUACCUCCGCCCGGGUGAGGAUGUAGGCACCUCGGCUCUGCUGAUGACCUGUUCAAGCCAACAGGGACCCCUGUCUCCAGCCACCCUCACAGACAUGUCAGCCGUGGAGUAGGGUGGACGCUUUCUCUCAUCUUCUCAGGGUUUCAGGAUUUUUCUUCUUUAUUUUUUUCUUUUUUUUUUCUUGGUUUUUGGUUUUUGUUUUGUGGCUGAACACUCAUAAGCAAAGAGGACAUCAUGGGGGACCAGCAACUGUACAAGACCAAUCACGUGGGCCACGGUGGUGAGAACCUCUUCUAUCAACAGCCACCCCUUGGUGUCCACAGUGGGCUGGGCCACAGCUAUGGGAAUACAAUCUCUGGGGCUGGGAUGGACGCCCCGCAGGCCUCACCCAUCUCACCUCACUUCCCUCAAGAUAAUCGGGAUGGUCUCGGCUUGCCUAUUGGCUCCAAAAACCUUGGCCAGAUGGAUACCUCCAGGCAGGGAGGAUGGGGAAGUCAUGCAGGGCCUGGGAACCAUGUCCAGCUUCGUAGCAACUUGGCCAACUCAAACAUGAUGUGGGGGACGCCCACCCAGGUGGAGCCUGCUGAUGGCUACCAAUACACUUAUUCCCAGGCCAGCGAGAUCCGGACCCAGAAACUCACCAGUGGUGUUUUGCACAAGCUGGACUCUUUCACCCAGGUAUUUGCCAACCAAAACCUGCGGAUUCAGGUCAACAAUAUGGCCCAGGUGCUGCACACCCAAUCAGCGGUGAUGGAUGGAACCUCCGACAGUGCCCUCCGUCAACUGCUGUCUCAGAAGCCCGUGGAGCCCUCAGCAUCAGCUAUAGCUUCCCGCUACCAGCAGGUGCCCCAGCAGCCUCACCCUGGCUUCACGGGUGGACUGCCCAAACCAGCCCUUCCAGUCGGGCAGCACGCUCCCCAAGGGCACCUGUAUUAUGACUACCAGCAGCCCCUGGCCCAGAUGUCCAUGCAAGGAGGACAGCCACUGCAAGCCCCUCAGGUGCUGUCCGGCCAUAUGCAACAAUUGCAGCAGCACCAGUAUUACCCACAGCCGCCGCCUCAGCAGCAGCAAGCCGGACUGCAGCGGAUCUCUGUGCAGGAGAUGCAGCAGCAGCAGCAGCCGCAGCAAAUUCGCCCCUCACCACCUCAGCAGCAGCAGCAGCUCCAGCUGCAGCAGCGGCAGAGUUCACUGCAGAUACCUCAGUAUUAUCAGCCCCAACCCAUGAUGCAACACUUGCAAGAGCAGCAGCAGCCAUCCAUGCACCUGCAGCCACCCUCAUACCACAGGGACCCUCAUCAGUAUACCCCGGAGCAGGCACACGCUGUCCAGCUGAUCCAGCUGGGCUCUAUGCCCCAGUAUUACUAUCAGGAGCCUCAACAGGCCUAUAGCCACCCCCUCUACCCGCAGAGCCACCUGUCCCAGCACCAGCAGCGUGAAGACAGUCAGCUGAAGACAUAUUCUAGUGACAGACAGACCCCGGCUAUGCUGAGCUCCCAUGGGGACAUGGGGCCUUCUGAUACAGGAGUGGCGGAUCCAGCCAGCUCAGAAAUGACUCGGGUCACUAGUACUCUUCCUCACCAACCGCUCCUGUCCCCCAGUGGGAUCCACCUCAACAACAUGGGGUCUCAGCAUCAGCAGCCGCCAUCUCCCAGUGCGAUGUGGCCCCAGAUGCACUUACCUGAUGGGAGAGCCCAGUCCGGAUCCCCGGAAUCAAGCAGCGGCCAAACCAAAGGAGUGUUUGGGGAACAGUUUGAUGCCAAGAACAAGUUGACAUGCUCCAUCUGCCUGAAGGAGUUCAAAAGCCUGCCCGCCCUGAACGGCCACAUGCGGUCCCACGGGGGGAUGAGGGCGUCCCCCAGCCUCAAACAGGAGGAAGGAGAGAAGGCCCCACCGCCUCAGCCUCAGCCCCAGCCUCAGCCCCAGCCGCCACUGCCACCUCCGCCUCCUCCGCCGCCGCCACCGCAGCUCCCUCCUGAGGCAGAGCGCCUCACGCCUAUGGUCAUGCCCGUGUCUGUCCCUGUCAAGCUAAUCCCACCCAAGCCCAGCUCUCAGGGGUUCACCAACAGCGUCGCUGCCACCCCCGCGGCCAGAGACAAGCCAGCCAGCUCGAUGUCGGACGACGAGAUGCCUGUGCUCGUGAGGAUGACCCUCUCCCCCCCUCACUCCCCCCAAGGGGCUGCCCCCCGUGCGCCUGCUGAAAUCCCCCGGAAACAUCCACCUAUCGCCGCCAAAGUUGAGGAGCCCCUCAAGAACCUACCAGAGAAGAAGAAAUUCCGGCACCGGCCUGAGCCCCUCUUCAUCCCACCACCGCCUUCGUCCUAUACUCCCAACCCCACCUCUUACUCGGGGGCCACCCUGUACCAGAGCCAGCUGCGCUCCCCGCGAAUCCUCGGGGACCACCUGCUCCUGGACCCCGCCCACGAACUGCCCCCCUACACGCCGCCACCCAUGCUGAGCCCUGUGCGCCAGGGCUCAGGGCUCUUCAGCAAUGUCCUCAUCUCUGGCCACGGCCCUGGAGUGCACCCCCAGCUGCCCCUCACUCCCCUCACGCCCACGCCACGUGUGCUGCUGUGCCGUUCCAGCAGCAUCGAUGGCAGCAAUGUGACAGUCACCCCAGGACCUGGAGAGCAGACUGUGGAUGUUGAACCACGCAUCAACAUUGGCUUAAGGUUCCAAGCAGAGAUCCCAGAACUGCAAGACGUCUCCGCCCUGGCUCAGGACACACACAGGGCCACACUGGUAUGGAAGCCGUGGCCUGAGCUGGAAAACCAGGCCCUCCAGCAGCAAGUGGAGAAUCUUCUGAAUUUGUGUUGUUCCAGUGCGCUGCCAGGUGGAGGAACCAAUUCGGAAUUUGCUUUGCACUCUCUCUUUGAGGCCAAAGGUGACGUGAUGGCUACCCUGGAAAUGCUGCUGCUGCGGAAGCCAGUCAGGUUAAAAUGUCAUCCUUUAGCAAAUUACCACUACGCCGGUUCUGACAAGUGGACAUCCCUAGAAAGAAAACUGUUUAAUAAAGCAUUGGCCACUUACAGCAAAGACUUUAUUUUUGUACAGAAGAUGGUGAAGUCCAAGACAGUGGCUCAGUGCGUGGAGUACUACUACACUUGGAAGAAGAUAAUGCGACUAGGCCGGAAACACCGGACACGCCUGGCGGAAAUCAUUGACGACUGCAUGACCAGCGAAGAGGAAGAAGAGGCCGAGGAGGAAGAAGAGGACCCAGAAGAAGAUAGGAAAUCCAUAAAAGAAGAGGAGAGUGAAGUGGCCAAGUCUCCAGAGCCACCUCCUGUCCCUGCCCUGGCUCCCACUGAGGGGCCACCCAUGCAGGCUGUUGGCCAACAACCAUCAGGCAACUUCAUUUGUGAAAUGCCCAACUGUGGGGCUGUGUUCAGCUCCCGACAGGCACUGAACGGUCACGCCCGCAUCCACGGCGGCACCAACCAGGUGGCUAAGACCCGAGGUGCCAUCCCCUCUGGGAAGCAGAAGCCAGGUGGCACCCAGAGUGGGUACUGCUCAGUGAAGAGUUCACCAUCUCACAGUACCACCAGUGGAGAGACGGACCCCACCACCAUCUUCCCCUGCAAGGAGUGUGGCAAGGUCUUCUUUAAGAUCAAAAGCCGGAAUGCGCACAUGAAAACCCACCGGCAGCAAGAGGAGCAGCAGAGGCAGAAGGCUCAGAAGGCAGCCUUCGCAGCAGAAAUGGCAGCCACCAUCGAGAGGACUACGGGGCCGGUGGGGGCGCCCGAGCUGCUGCCCCUGGACCAACUGAGUCUGAUGAAGCCUGUCAAGGACGUGGACAUCCUGGAUGACGAUGUGGUCCAGCAGUUAGGCGUCAUGGACGAGGCCGAGGUGGUAGGCACGGAUCUUCUCUUGGACGACCAAGAUUCGGUUUUGCUUCAGGGUGAUACAGAACUCUAAACCCUCCCGUUCAUCACCUAGAGACACAGAAGCCACGGCCUCCACCUCUGUCACCCGUAGAACUGGACUUCCUGCUCCUUUGGAAACCCUUUUAAACUACCUGUUUAAAAAGCGGUCCUUUUCUUCAGGUUAAGGGAGGGGAAAAAUCCAGUUCUUUCUCUUUUACCUUCUUUUACAUUGUUUUUGUUGGGGGUUGGGGGGAAUAAAAAAAAUUGGCACAACUAUC
ensembl:processed_transcript Trerf1 transcriptional regulating factor 1